GACGUAGGGGGCAAGCGUUAUUCGGAAUUAUUGGGCGUAAAGCGCUCGUAGGCGGGACUGGAAGUCCGUGUUGAAAGACCUCGGCUCAACUGAGGGACCGGCUCGGAUACUCUAGUUCUUGAGGCAAUCAGAGGGUGAUGGAAUUCCCGGUGUAGCGGUGAAAUGCGUAGAUAUCAGGAGGAACACCUGCGGUGUAGACGGCUUUCUGGACCAUUGCUGACGCUGAGACACGAAAGCGUGGGUAGCAAACAGG
rnacentral:rRNA from 1 species